UAUUUUGUUUGUUUGAAGAGAAUGUGCCUGUAGUAAGACAGUUUCUUGUUAUGUGCAGUAUUUUGUUUAUUUGAAGAGAAUGUGCCUGUAGUACGACUGUUUGUUGUUGCUAUGUGCCGUAUAUCAAUGUGUCUGUAGUACGACUGUUUGUUGUUGCUAUGUGCCGUAUAUCAAUGUGUCUCUAGCACGACUGUUUGUUAUGUGCAGUAUUUUUGUUUGUAGAGAAUGUGUCUGUAGUACGACUGUUUGUUGUUGCUAUGUGCCGUAUAUCAAUGUGUCUCUAGCACGACUGUUUGUUGUUAUGUGCAGUAUUUUUGUUUGUAGAGAAUGUGUCUGUAGUAGGACUGUUUGUUGUCGCUAUGUGCCGUAUAUCAAUGUGUCUCUAGCACGACUGUUUGUUGUUGUUAUGUGCCGUAUUUUUGUUUGUUUGAAGAGAAUGUGUCUGUAGUACGACUGUUUGUUGUUGUUAUGUCCCGUAUUUUUGUUUGUUUAUGAGAGAAUGUGUCUCUAGUACGACUGUUUGUUGUUGCUAUGUGCCGUAUUUUUGUUUGUUUGAAGAGAAAGUGUCUGUAGUACGACUGUUUGUUGUUGCUAUGUGCCGUAUUUUUGUUUGUUUGAAGAGAAUGUGAGUGUGCAUGUUUGGGAGGGGUAA
rnacentral:sRNA from 1 species